AAUCAACGCUGGCGGCGUGCCUAACACAUGCAAGUCGAACGCGAAAGGGGAGCAAUCCCUGAGUAGAGUGGCGAACGGGUGAGUAACACGUGGGUGACCUGCCUUCGAGUGGGGGAUAACGUCCCGAAAGGGACGCUAAUACCGCAUGACAUCCUGCCUUUGAACAGGCGGUGCUUAAAGCUGGGGAUCGCAAGACCUGGCGCUUGAAGAGGGGCCCGCGUCCGAUUAGCUAGCUGGUGGGGUAAUGGCCUACCAAGGCGACGAUCGGUAGCCGGCCUGAGAGGGCGGACGGCCACACUGGGACUGAGACACGGCCCAGACUCCUACGGGAGGCAGCAGUGGGGAAUUGUUCGCAAUGGGCGCAAGCCUGACGACGCAACGCCGCGUGGAGGAUGAAGAUUUUCGGAUCGUAAACUCCUUUCGAUCGGGACGAAUCGGUCGCGACCUAACACGUCGCGGCACUGACGGUACCGAGAGAAGAAGCCCCGGCUAACUCCGUGCCAGCAGCCGCGGUAAUACGGGGGGGGCAAGCGUUGUUCGGAAUUACUGGGCGUAAAGGGCGCGUAGGCGGCCUGCUAAGUCGGACGUGAAAUCCCUCGGCUCAACCGAGGAACUGCGUCCGAUACUGGCGGGCUUGAAUCCGGGAGAGGGAUGUGGAAUUCCAGGUGUAGCGGUGAAAUGCGUAGAUAUCUGGAGGAACACCGGUGGCGAAGGCGGCAUCCUGGACCGGUAUUGACGUUGAGGCGCGAAAGCUAGGGGAGCAAACGGGAUUAGAUACCCCGGUAGUCCUAGCCCUAAACGAUGAGUGCUUGGUGUGGCGGGUAUCGAUCCCUGCCGUGCCGAAGCUAACGCAUUAAGCACUCCGCCUGGGGAGUACGGUCGCAAGGCUG
rnacentral:rRNA from 1 species